AACUGAACAUCUCAGAAAUUCAAGCAGCCAUCUCCCAUCCAGCCCCAUCUAUACAACCAAGCACAACCUUAAGCGAUGGUGUCAUUCUUCCCUUUUUUACAUUAAACCCAUUACCUGAAUAUAAGUGGCUGAACAUUAUCUUCAGAUAUUUCCAACUUUGUUACCAUUUUCAUUUUGCUUUCCAGACCUCACGGUGUGUAUACCCCGCUGUAUAUUUCAAAAAGGAUGAGAACCAGUUGAAUCGACAAGAGACGCUUUGUCGAGGUCAGUUUCUUUUUAACGGCCACAUUUCCCAUGCAACCUUCUUCUCCUUAUGGCGAUGGUAACAACUUAUAGAUCUUCUAUUGAUAUUGCUACACAUAUAAGGGAUGGAGAUAAUUAAGAAUGAUAUACGUGAAGUAUACAGUAAUUAUUCUCCUCCCGAAACUUAACAUAGAUGAUGACAGAAAAAAAGGACAAAUCAAUUUGCAGGAAUAAAGAUGCCACGGAAUGCUCCAACAAACAAAAACUUCACAACGUGGAUGCUACUCUCUAUUCAUUAACAUGCUUAGCAGAUAUAGGGAGCAAAAGCAGCAUGAACAGUGGGCAUGUCUAUUACUAGUAGUUGCCUACCAGGCUACAAUAUAGUACAAGAUCAUAUAAACAACGAAUUUGCAUGACAAACUAAACUAUUGUUGUGGACUUAGUAUAACCAUCCUGUACAGAACCCACCCAAUCGAAUUUGAUAUUCGCAAUUAUCCCAAUAUCAAAAUGAUAUAGCAGAUUCGCAAAUCAAUGUAAAAAAUGACGCACCUUCACUAUUUAUCGAGUGCAACUUCACCUGAUUGUUUAUCAAGUGCAACUUCACCUGAAACAUUUCUAGCUAAACACUUGUGUAUCUUUCUGGCAACCUUGGAGAGUUGGAGGGAUGUGCCGCAUAUGAUAGGUCCUGGUUGAGACUUGGAAAGGUAUGCCUUUAACAAAAGUCUCAGCUUCUUCAAAUAGCCAAAGCUCAUAUGACAAAUUUGCUAGCUAAAUACUUGAGCAUCUAUCACACCAUAUGUCUGGCAACCUUGGAGGAAUGUGCGCCAUAUGACAGCACUUGGUUGGA
rnacentral:lncRNA from 1 species